GAUGAACGCUGGCGGCGUGCCUAAUACAUGCAAGUCGAGCGAACAGACGAGGAGCUUGCUCCUCUGACGUUAGCGGCGGACGGGUGAGUAACACGUGGAUAACCCACCUAUAAGACUGGGAUAACUUCGGGAAACCGGAGCUAAUACCGGAUAACAUGUUGAACCGCAUGGUUCAACAGUGAAAGACGGUCUUGCUGUCACUUAUAGAUGGAUCCGCGCCGCAUUAGCUAGUUGGUAAGGUAACGGCUUACCAAGGCAACGAUGCGUAGCCGACCUGAGAGGGUGAUCGGCCACACUGGAACUGAGACACGGUCCAGACUCCUACGGGAGGCAGCAGUAGGGAAUCUUCCGCAAUGGGCGAAAGCCUGACGGAGCAACGCCGCGUGAGUGAAGGAGGUCUUCGGAUCGUAAAACUCUGUUAUUAGGGAAGAACAAAUGUGUAAGUAACUAUGCACGUCUUGACGGUACCUAAUCAGAAAGCCACGGCUAACUACGUG
rnacentral:rRNA from 1 species